UACAGAGGGUGCGAGCGUUAAUCGGAAUUACUGGGCGUAAAGGGCGCGCAGGCGGCUGCUCAAGUCAGGCGUGAAAGGCCUGGGCUCAACCCGGGAAUUGCGCUUGAGACUGGGCUGGCUUGAGUGCGGGAGAGGAUGGUGGAAUUCCCAGUGUAGAGGUGAAAUUCGUAGAUAUUGGGAAGAACACCGGUGGCGUAGGCGGCCAUCUGGACCGCAACUGACGCUGAGGCGCGAAAGCGUGGGGAGCAAACAGG
rnacentral:rRNA from 1 species